UGGCGACCGGGUCUAGCUUUUUGGACA
rnacentral:piRNA from 1 species